rnacentral:misc_RNA from 1 species
AGGUAAAUUAUAAGUCCUUGAUUAAAAUUUUUACUUGGAAUGAUAUGUGCAUAUCAAAAGAUUAGAUAAUGAUGGGUCCAAUCAGAUUUUCACUAGGAAAAAGUUACUAAUUUAACAGAUUUUCACAGGGGAAAUUAUUGUCAUUAGGCCUUUAGUAAUUUAUUGUUCUGAUGCUUGUUUCAAUGGCUAGAGUUUAAAUCUUAUAGGGUGGUUGGUUCAGAUACAUAUAUAGUAUAGACAUAUGCCAAUCAAAAGUAUAUAUAUUGCAGAUUUUAGUUCUGGAACUCAUUGGAUUUCUAUAUUUCACUAUUUUAUAUUUUAUAUCUUGUGAUUUGUUUUAUAUAUCAAUUUAUGUGAGAAUUUUUAAGUAUGAGUUUGCACUAUUUAUAGGAUGGAAUAAUGGUAUAUGCAAAAGUAUGUGUACAGUAAUGUGCCCACUGCCCAAACCAAAUUGAACAACAAAAAAUCUGUUUACAUUCUCAAAAAUGUUACUUUUAACAAGAUUUACACUGAGAAAUAGUCUUGAAUUCGUAGAAGCCCACAUUCAUAAGAGGCCCAUUCUUUUCUUAAGUAAUUUUUUUUUUCAAUGUACUUCCUUAAUGAUGUGAAUCAAUGGAGAAAGUGGGAAAAUUUCUAGUUGAGUGCACUUUACCUUGUAAUUUUGAACUACUAACAGGGAAUAGAUAUUAAUGUAACAUUGCGACGCAUUGGAGUCAAAAAAUGUUCUAACAUCUAUGAGGAGAUUCCACCAAUCUAUCCUCUCAACCACAACCCACGCUAGUACAACCAAUAUCUGAAUAAUUCUAAGACACUAAAUGUCAAUUUGUAAAUAAAAAUCAUUAUAAUUAGUGUUUUUACAAGGUUUCCUUAGCCAAAUACCCAUAGAAAUUUAGCUAUUUUUUUUAUUUGCCAACCAUAUAAAAAAGUUGUCUAUUGUAAAUUGUAAAACCAUAUCAGAUGGAUUUACUUGAUGAAUUACAAAUUAGAGGUGAGUGAUUUUUAUAUUACAAACUAAAUUUAUGUUACAACACAAAAGUUAAGUAAUAACUAUGGUGACCAUAGAUGAAAUUAAGCUUGAUCUUAAUAAUUCUUUAAUUAGUUCUAUUUUACUUUUACUAAAGUAUAUGACUUUAAUAUAUAUGUCAAUCAUAGUUAUUAAAAGCGC